CUGUCUGAAAGAGAUGAAAUCACCUCCUUACAGCACUGGCCAGAUCAUCGACGAUCACCUCCCGGAGCUGAAGCUGCAGUCAUGAGUGUGUGUGCUCGUUCUCUCCUCCUGGUUCUGCUGAUCCUCCUGUACCUUCAGUCCUGUUUGAUGGCUGGCAAUUCAUACUACCUGUCGUGCUGUUACACUUUCAUUAAGACUCAAAUUCCUAUAAGAGCAGUAACAAUGUAUAAGAAAACUACAAAUGACUGUCCAAAAGCUGGAGUGAUUUUUACCACCUUGAACGGUCGUCAAAUGUGUGCAGAGCCUGGCCUUAUGUGGGUGCAGCAGAUUAUGCACACAGUUGACCGGAAACGUUUGGAAAGUUCCAGUAAGCUGCACAAACAUGAAGUUAAAACCAAAACCUGGCCUGCAUCUGAGACCUUGAGUCCUGACCCAACCACAGUUUCAGAUGGACAUGAAACCAAAGUCCAAACCCAACCUGAAACCAAGUCCUCGAAACCAGAGUCGACUCCAGUUAGACAUGAAUGUGAGACUGAAACUCAAACCCGUCCUACACCUGAGACCUCCAGGCCUGACUCUAAUGAGCCCAACUGGUUCUGCAAAAUUUGAAACCUCAAACUCAAAAUUUCAUAGAACAACACAGAUAUGGACACAUUGUUCCAUGAAUUCUUAUUUUCAAUAUGCUUCACUUGGCUGACAAGUUCAUAAUAAAAAGCUUGUGCAAUAAAUAAAGUAAAUAUCUGAAUUAAUGAGUUUAAUGAAUAGA